GUUUCAUAACACCUACAGAAUCUAUCGACCUUACUACAUGGGAAAGAGUGCCAUACACUAACAUACCCCAACAAAAUGAUAGCUAGUCUUGUGGUGUCUAUGUUAUCAAAUAUAUGUUGGAAUGGAACGGAAUUCAAAUGCGUAACAAUUUCACACAGGAUCAAAUGGACAUUUUUCGAAGAAAGAUAUGUUGUAGGCUGUUGCAUUCUGAAAACAACAAAUGUC